UCUAAAAGUUUGGAAAACAUAUUUGGAGGAAUAAUAGAGGAAAACUUCCCCAGCCUUGCUAGAGACCUAGACACCCAAAUACAAGCAGCACAAAGAACAUCUGAGAAAUCAUCGCAAAAUAUCAUUGCCUAGCCA